AUGUACCAACCGUACACUCCGGUUCCUCCGCGCCGUCCACGCCCACCUGACGACUGCUCGCUACGGUUUGUUAGCC
rnacentral:sRNA from 1 species